rfam:Asian citrus Psyllid, Diaphorina citri - Florida Strain, whole genome shotgun sequence.
GCCUAGUUAGCUUAGUUGGUAGCGCAUCUGCCUUGUAAGCGCUAUGCCGCGGGUUCGAUUCCCGCUCGGGGUG